rnacentral:tRNA from 7 species
CGCGGGGUGGAGCAGUGGUAGCUCGUUGGGCUCAUAACCCAAAGGUCGUCGGUUCGAGUCCGGCUCCCGCAACCA